GACGAACGCUGGCGGCGUGCCUAAUACAUGCAAGUCGAGCGGACGGAUGGGAGCUUGCUCCCAGACCGUCAGCGGCGGACGGGUGAGUAACACGUGGGCAACCUGCCUGUAAGACUGGGAUAACUCCGGGAAACCGGGGCUAAUACCGGAUAACUCUUUCCCUCACAUGAGGGAAAGCUGAAAGAUGGCAUCUCGCUAUCACUUACAGAUGGGCCCGCGGCGCAUUAGCUAGUUGGUGAGGUAACGGCUCACCAAGGCGACGAUGCGUAGCCGACCUGAGAGGGUGAUCGGCCACACUGGGACUGAGACACGGCCCAGACUCCUACGGGAGGCAGCAGUAGGGAAUCUUCCGCAAUGGACGAAAGUCUGACGGAGCAACGCCGCGUGAGUGAUGAAGGUGUUCGGAUCGUAAAACUCUGUUGUCAGGGAAGAACAAGUACCGGAGCAACUGCCGGUACCUUGACGGUACCUGACCAGAAAGCCACGGCUAACUACGUG
rnacentral:rRNA from 1 species